rnacentral:rRNA from 1 species
UACAGAGGUGCCAAGCGUUGUUCGGAUUUAUUGGGCGUAAAGGGUGCGUAGGUGGUGAUGCAAGUCGGGUGUGAAAUACCGGAGCCUAACUCCGGAACGGCAUUCGAAACUGCAUCGCUCGAGGUCUGGAGAGGUGACUGGAAUUCUCGGUGUAGCAGUGAAAUGCGUAGAUAUCGAGAGGAACACCAGAGGCGAAGGCGAGUCACUGGACAGAACCUGACACUGAGGCACGAAAGCGAGGGGAGCAAACGGG